CUUGAAUUGUCAUACUGUAUGUCCGUAGAUGGUUGUAAUUGUCAAUAAAGUCCUUUGUUCCGGAGUUCCACGUCUCCUCGUUUCCCUGGCCCCGACGACACGUGACAGCUGGAUGUUCGCAGGGAACGAGUGCAGAUCGACAGGCAUUGAUCAGACCAGCAGACCAUGUUUAGCUCCUGUCUACAUUCACAGACGGCCUUCAUCCGGAGGGAACUGGUUAGUUAACAAGUCAUGGACUGCAGACAGUUUUUGCCAGCCAGUGAACCCUUGAGUCACCGUAGCCUCUACCUCUACAGCCCUGAACGUCAGCGGAGAUCAGGACCGAUAGAUGACCCCCAGGGACAGAUCCACAGUAAAUACCUUGUCUCCUAGACAGCCAUCGUGGACAAGAACUCGGGAACCAGAUGAGUCCUCUGCACAAUCUGACUUUGCUGCAGCAUGGAACAAACUGCAGGUUCGUCUGGUCAGAGGAGAACUGGGCCCCCGACUGAGCCUGGUUUCUCACAAGGUUUUUUUCUCCAUUCUGUAAACAGACGGGUAAGUUUAGGGAUAUGUAAGGUGGGAGGAGUGUGAUCUGGAUCCAACCUUGCCCCUUGGAUCUUGUGUUCUGCAGUGAAGACCGUGAACUGUGCAAGUGAAUCUUGACUUUCACUAAUGAAAAGAAUGUAGAUCAGUCACUUGAUAAACCACUUCUCUGAAAUAGCUCAAAGGUUCAUCUCAUGAGCCUUCAAUUGGAAAGCCUAUACUGUAUUGACACAGGACAACACAAGAGGUACAAAUUCUGACAAUGGACUUUCUCAUUUUUAAUUUUCGCCUUUGUGCCCAUAUUUCUUUUUCCUUUUCUAUAUCACAAUGACGUUGUAAUGUGUGUGUGUGUGUGUGUGUGUGUGUGUGUGUUUGU